GGAGGGAUCAUUAAAAGAGUCUUGGUUUUCAGAAAUGAGACCGACCCUUCAACCCUUUGUAUUACCAUUCUCUCGUUGCCUCGGGGGAACGCAUCUCGUCGAAAGAUGAGAGGCCCCCGGUGGACAUUACCAAACUCGUUUUUACCAUACAGUCAGAGUAAUUGAUUAAACAAUCAAAACAAAACUUUCAACAACGGAUCUCUUGGUUCUGGCAUCGAUGAAGAACGCAGCGAAAUGCGAUAAGUAAUGUGAAUUGCAGAAUUCAGUGAAUCAUCGAAUCUUUGAACGCACAUUGCGCCCUCUGGUAUUCCGGGGGGCAUGCCCGUUCGAGCGUCAUUACACCUCUCAAGCCUAGCUUGGUGUUGGAGGCUGCGACGGUUCGUCAAAAGACCGCUGCACCUCUCGAAUUGACCGGCCGAUUCAGUCAUCUCUCCGGCGUUGUGCAUUCAUUUGUUCGCCUGUCAGAGAUGAAAGGAUUUCGAAGCCGUUAAGCCUCUUAUUUCAUUAAAGGUUGACCUCGAAUCGGGUAGGGAUACCCGCUGAACUUAAGCAUAUCAAUAAGCGGAGGAAAAGAAACCAACAGGGAUUACCCUAGUAACGGCGAGUGAAGCGGUAACAGCUCAAAUUUGAAAUCUGACGUCCUUUGGGCGCCCGAGUUGUAAUUUGCAGAGGAUGCUUCUGGGUAGUCAACGGUCUAAGUUCCUUGGAACAGGACGUCAUAGAGGGUGAGAAUCCCGUAUGUGACCGACAGGCGCCCUUCACGUAGCUCCUUCGACGAGUCGAGUUGUUUGGGAAUGCAGCUCUAAAUGGGAGGUAAAUUUCUUCUAAAGCUAAAUAUCUGCCAGAGACCGAUAGCGCACAAGUAGAGUGAUCGAAAGAUGAAAAGCACUUUGGAAAGAGAGUUAAACAGCACGUGAAAUUGUUGAAAGGGAAGCGUUUGCUACCAGACUUGUCUGCGGCGUUCAGCCGGUCAUUUGGCCGGUCCACUCGUCGUAUGCAGGCCAGCAUCAUCUGGAGCCGUGGGAUAAUAGUCAUGGAAUGUAGCUCCUCGGAGUGUUAUAGCCAGGACUGAUGCCACGAGUUCCGGGUGAGGUCCGCGCAUUGCUAGGAUGCUGGCGUAAUGGUCGUAAACGGCCCGUCUUGAAACACGGACCAAGGAGUCGAUCACCCACGCGAGUGUUUGGGUGUAAAACCCUCACGCGUAAUGAAAGUGAACGGAGGUGGGAGCUUCGGCGCACCAUCGACCGAUCCUGAUGUCUUCGGAUGGAUUUGAGUAAGAGCGUGGUUGAUCGGACCCGAAAGAUGGUGAACUAUGCCUGAAUAGGGUGAAGCCAGAGGAAACUCUGGUGGAGGCUCGCAGCGGUUCUGACGUGCAAAUCGAUCGUCAAAUUUGGGUAUAGGGGCGAAAGACUAAUCGAACCAUCUAGUAGCUGGUUCCUGC
rnacentral:misc_RNA from 1 species